rfam:Glycine max cultivar Williams 82 chromosome 11, whole genome shotgun sequence.
UUCUUAUUGGAUGAUGACUGCCACAUGUCAUGUUCUGAUUGGAUGUCAACUCUAAGAAAGAUGAAAUGCAUUGUUGUUUUCAUUGACUAAUCAGAACAUGACAUGUGGCAGUCAUCNNNN